rnacentral:rRNA from 1 species
UACGUAGGGGGCAAGCGUUGUCCGGAAUCAUUGGGCGUAAAGCGCGUGUAGGCGGCCCGGUAAGUCCGCUGUGAAAGUCCAGGGCUCAACCCUGGAAUGCCGGUGGAUACUGUCGGGCUCGAGUCCGGAAGAGGCGAGUGGAAUUCCUGGUGUAGCGGUGAAAUGGCGCAGAUAUCAGGAGGAACACCGGUGGCGAAGGCGGGUCUCUGGGCCGAUACUGACGCUGAGGAGCGAAAGCGUGGGGAGCGAACAG